rnacentral:rRNA from 1 species
AUGGGUGAGCAAAAAGAAGGUGCCAAGACUGAGGUUGCUCGCUCUCGUGAUAAUUACAUGUCAUGGAGUGAUGAUUGUACCAAGUAUUUGCUUGAGUGGUAUGUCGAGAAGCAAAGGGACAAGCCACCAACCUUCAAGUGGAAGGCACAACACCAUCUACAAUGUGCUAAUGAUCUGAAUGACAAGUUUGGAAUUACAGCUACAGCAAAACAAGUUGAUCGACACUUUAGGUCAUUCAAGGAGAAAUGGAAGUGGAUAAAGCUAGCAAAGGGGAGGAGCGGAUAUGGUUUCGAUAAAGUACUUAACAAAUUUAACAUUGACAAGUCAGAGAAAUCACCAAGCAAGCUUGGUAAAAUAAAAUUUAACUACCUUACUCACUCCAUCAAGUUUUAUCAUCUCCUAGAAGAACUGUUUAGUGACUCGUCUCAUGCGGAUGGCUCACUAGCUAUUGAUGUGAAUGAUGCAAUUGAGAAUGUGGAAUCUGAUGGUAGUAGUGAAACGAGCAACCACACAUCCACUGCCGAACAAGGUCUUAGUGAUUCCGACAUGAUUGCGCCCAACAGUCUAGCAGAAGGCACUAGCUCAAAUCUGAAGCGCAAGCAUGUUAAAGCACCACAUAAGAAGAAACCAAAGGUCAAGGCGCGUCGAGCCAGCGUGUUAGAUGAUGAUGUGGCAGCGAGCAUUGUGAGUCUUGCUAAAACUGUGAAAUCUACUACCCCUAUUCAGCCAAUAGCAGUUACAGACCCCAAUGCCAAUCUUUGGAAACACAUUGAGUCGCUAACUAUCCCAGCAAAUGAGAAGAUUGAGUUAGCAGCCUAUCUUGCUAAGCCAGAACAAGAAAUUUUCCGUGGUUUCCUGAACUGUGCAAGCGUCCAGACUUUUAAUGCUUGGGUCCUUGAUUAUUUCGCGCACAAGUACGACGGCAACAAUCGCACAGCUGCUGAUCCAUCAAUCUGA